rnacentral:rRNA from 1 species
CCUACGGGUGGCAGCAGUCGAGAAUCAUUCACAAUGGGGGAAACCCUGAUGGUGCGACGCCGCGUGGGGGAAUGAAGGUCUUCGGAUUGUAAACCCCUGUCAUGUGGGAGCAAAUUAAAAAGAUAGUACCACAAGAGGAAGAGACGGCUAACUCUGUGCCAGCAGCCGCGGUAAUACAGAGGUCUCAAGCGUUGUUCGGAAUCACUGGGCGGAAAGCGUGCGUAGGCUGUUUCGUAAGUCGUGUGUGAAAGGCGCGGGCUCAAGCCGCGGACGGCACAUGAUACUGCGAGACUAGAGUAAUGGAGGGGGAACCGGAAUUCUCGGUGUAGCAGUGAAAUGCGUAGAUAUCGGGAGGAACACUCGUGGCGAAGGCGGGUUCCUGGACAUUAACUGACGCUGAGGCACGAAGGCCAGGGGAGCGAAAGGGAUUAGAUACCCCUGUAGUC